rnacentral:rRNA from 1 species
UGGGGAAUUUUGGACAAUGGGCGCAAGCCUGAUCCAGCCAUGCCGCGUGCGGGAAGAAGGCCUUCGGGUUGUAAACCGCUUUUGUCAGGGAAGAAAUCUUCUGAGUUAAUACCUCGGGAGGAUGACGGUACCUGAAGAAUAAGCACCGGCUAACUACGUGCCAGCAGCCGCGGUAAUACGUAGGGUGCAAGCGUUAAUCGGAAUUACUGGGCGUAAAGCGUGCGCAGGCGGUUUUGUAAGACAGAGGUGAAAUCCCCGGGCUCAACCUGGGAACUGCCUUUGUGACUGCAAGGCUUGAGUGCGGCAGAGGGGGGAUGGAAUUCCGCGUGUAGCAGUGAAAUGCGUAGAUAUGCGGAGGAACACCGAUGGCGAAGGCAAUCCCCUGGGCCUGCACUGACGCUCAUGCACGAAAGCGUGGGGAGCAAAACAGGAUUAGAUACCCUGGUAGUCCACGCCCUAAACCGAUGUCAACUGGUUGUUGGGGAAGGUUCCUUCUCAGUAACGUAGCUAACGCGUGAA